UAUGUAGGGGGGCUAGCGUUGUCCGGAUUUAUUGGGCGUAAAGAGCGUGUAGGCGGCCAGGUAGGUCUGCUGUGAAAACUCGAGGCUCAACCUCGAGAUGUCGGCGGAAACCAUCUGGCUAGAGUCCGGAAGAGGAAAGUGGAAUUCCUGGUGUAGCGGUGAAAUGCGCAGAGAUCAUGAGGAAGACCAGUGGCGAAGGCGGGUCUCUGGACAGUUCCUGACACUGAGGCACGAAGGCCAGGGGAGCAAACGGG
rnacentral:rRNA from 1 species